CGGCGGACGGGUGAGUAACGCGUGGGUAACCUGCCUCAUACAGGGGGAUAACAGUUAGGAAUGACUGCUAAUACCGCAUAAGCGCACGGGACUGCAUGGUCCAGUGUGAAAAACCGAGGUGGUAUGAGAUGGACCCGCGUCUGAUUAGCUGGUUGGCGGGGUAACGGCCCACCAAGGCGACGAUCAGUAGCCGACCUGAGAGGGUGGCCGGCCACAUUGGGACUGAGACACGGCCCAAACUCCUACGGAAGGCAGCAG
rnacentral:rRNA from 1 species